rnacentral:rRNA from 1 species
UACCAGCACCCCGAGUGGUCGGGACGUUUUAUUGGGCCUAAAGCAUCCGUAGCCGGUUCUACAAGUCUUCCGUUAAAUCCAACUGCUUAACAGGUGGGCUGCGGAAGAUACUAUAGAGCUAGGAGGCGGGAGAGGCAAGCGGUACUCGAUGGGUAGGGGUAAAAUCCGUUGAUCCAUUGAAGACCACCAGUGGCGAAGGCGGCUGCCAGAACGCGCUCGACGGUGAGGGAUGAAAGCUGGGGGAGCAAACCGG